rnacentral:rRNA from 1 species
CUAGAGAGACUGCCAGGGAUAACCUGGAGGAAGGUGGGGAUGACGUCAAAUCAUCAUGCCCCUUAUGCUUAGGGCUACACACGUGCUACAAUGGGUAGUACAGAGGGUUGCCAAGCCGUAAGGUGGAGCUAAUCCCUUAAAGCUACUCUCAGUUCGGAUUGUAGGCUGAAACUCGCCUACAUGAAGCUGGAGUUACUAGUAAUCGCAGAUCAGAAUGCUGCGGUGAAUGCGUUCCCGGGUCUUGUACACACCGCCCGUCACACCACGGGAGUUGGAGACGCCCGAAGCCGAUUAUCUAACCUUUUGGAAGAAGUCGUCGAAGGUGGAAUCAAUAACUGGGGUGAAGUCGUAACAAGGUAGCCGUAUCGGAAGGUGCGGCUGGAUCACCUCCUUUCUAAGGA